rnacentral:lncRNA from 1 species
GCCGGGCUGUUUAGCAGCUGGUCUCACUGCUUAGGUUCCUAAAGCCUAGCUGUUACAGCGUCCUUGCUACAGAAAGAGAUCGUUGUCUGACCAGAGACAAAACUUACUUCUGUCUGGUAGCAGAGUACCUACAUUUGGCUUUCCAGAUCUCACCUCAGUUCCAGAUUCCUCUACAUUAAAAUCUUCGCCUGGGUUACAUCUUCUCUCAGGAUUGAAUAUCAACACUAUUGAAGACACCUCAUGUGACAUCACAAACAGCUUUCUUGGACUCUCCAGGGAGGUGGAGCAAGAUGGCUGAAUAGAAGCCUCCAGCAAUUGUCCCCCACUCACAGGAACACCAAAUUGAACAACUAUCCACACACAAAAAAAAGCACCUUCAUACAAAGAAAAAUCAGAUUCCAGGUAAAUUAGUGCUUACAUUUUCUUGGAUACACUGAUGAUGGAUGAACCUUGGGAGAACAUGUACAAUUCUGAGUGGAACCUCUUCCAUGUGAUCUAGACAAGUAUUUUUAAAUGCUUACGGGUUAAUACUGUAUGCUUAAGCAACAUAGAAAAGCCAGAGGAAAAAUAUUAACAUCAGAAAUAACAUUUGAGGAAAAAAAUCCUGAAUUAGGCCUUGGUAGCUAUGUGAAUAUACAGGUCUGCUUCUCCCCACUCCCAAUAAAGACGGCCAAAUGCUCUCCAUUUCCUAUUAA